UCGGGAAUUUUGGGCAAUGGGCGCAAGCCUGACCCAGCAACGCCGCGUGAAGGAUGAAGUUUUUCGGAAUGUAAACUUCGUAAGAAUGGGAAGAAUCAAUGACGGUACCAUUUGUAAGGUCCGGCUAACUACGUGCCAGCAGCCGCGGUAAUACGUAGGGACCAAGCGUUGUUCGGAUUUACUGGGCGUAAAGGGCGCGUAGGCGGCAAUUCAAGUCAGCUGUGAAAUCUCCGGGCUUAACUCGGAACGGUCAGCUGAUACUGCUUUGCUAGAGUGCAGAAAGGGCAAUCGGAAUUCUUGGUGUAGCGGUGAAAUGCGUAGAUAUCAAGAGGAACACCUGAGGCGAAGGCGGGUUGCUAGGCUGACACUGACGCUGAGGCGCGAAAGCUAGGGUAGCAAA
rnacentral:rRNA from 1 species